rnacentral:lncRNA from 1 species
AAGAGAUGUAGAGGUCAUCUGGAAGAGUGGGGGACAGCAAGCUGUGCCAUCUGAAAAUGCUAGGUACAGGGUCAACUACACAGACUCCUGGAGCAGACAGGAGUCUAACAUGGCUGUCCUCUGAGACGCUCCACCCAGCACCCGACUCAGACAGAUACAGACAGCCACCAUCUAAAGGUGAAUGGAGCUUGAGGACUUUUAUGGAAGAAUAAGAGGAAGGAUUGGAGCCCCAAACGGGAUAGGAACUCCACAGGAAGAGCAACAGAGUCAACUAACCUGGACCCUUGGGACUCUCACAGUACAAAUUUACUCUUAAUCUUUAUGUACUGUUUCAUUGGAUGUUACUGCAAAACAUGAAUCAGCAUGUCUGGUUUCAAGUGAUCAUGGAUACAGAAAAUUCCAUUUACACAGAAGAAUACUACCUGGCUAUGAAAAACGACAACUUCAUGAAUUUUGCAGCAAAAUGGAUGGAACUAGUAAAUAUUGGCCUGAGUGAGGUAACCCAUACACGAAAGGAGCUACAUGUCCUUUUGAGAUAUAGCAUAAGCCCCUGCUGCUGAAGAUGCCAUGCAUUUAUGACACAGGUAGUCAAGAUAUCUGAGAUGGAACUAACCUUAAUGCAUCAUCCCUGAGGAACAUCUUUCAUGGCACCACAAGGAGCAAGCACCCAAAGGAG